AAUGAACGUUGGCGGCGUGGAUUAGGCAUGCAAGUCGAGCGAGAACCCCGCAAGGGGGGACCGCGGCGAAAGGGACAGUAAUGUGUAGAUUAUCUGCCCUCAGGUCCGGGAUAGCUGCGGGAAACUGCAGGUAAUACCGGAUAACAUCUCCGGAUCAAAGGUGUGAUUCCGCCUGAGGAUGAGUCUGCAUCCUAUUAGCUAGUUGGUGGGGUAAUGGCCUACCAAGGCAUUGAUGGGUAGCAGGUGUGAGAGCACGACCUGCGUCAUUGGGACUGAGACACUGCCCAGACACCUACGGGUGGCUGCAGUCGAGAAUCUGCGGCAAUGGGCGCAAGCCUGACCGAGCGACGCCGCGUGUGGGAUGAAGGCCUUCGGGUUGUAAACCACUGUCAGAGGGGAUGAAAUGCAGGUGGGUUCUCCCAUCUGUUUGACAUAGCCUCAGAGGAAGGACGGGCUAAGUUCGUG
rnacentral:rRNA from 1 species